CCUGCUUCUCUACGGUUCGGCCUCCCUCCUCCCUCCUCCCUGCGCUCCCUCCGCGCCCCUGGCCUGAGCUGCCCGCUUCCAUACUCGCCAUUGGUCAGUUCCCCCGUCGUUCAGGGUAACUCUCCCAGGUGUGACUCCGCCCCCUCCGCCCUAUUGGCUGCCCGAGGCUGCAGGCUGCAGUUCACUUAGGCAAAUUUAAAGAACUCUGAGCUUCGGUGCGGUGGGUGCUUGGAGGAGAACCGCGCCGACUGCGAGGGAACAUAGAACUCUGGAUCUGGCCGCGCUGUUUUCUCGGAGACCGAGCCCCACGUCAGCGUGGCCGCACAGAUGUCGCAGCGUGGGCCGACGCUCCAGGCAUGACGUCAUCUGCUGACCACUGCCCACCGCCUCUGACGUGUGGCCGGGCGUCACCUGCGGCUCCUCCCUCUGUGGGGAGCUCGGACUGGUACAGGAUUUGGGACAUGGACGGGCCUGGGGCCCGGGGCUGGGCCUGGCUUGCGGACCGGAAGUGGGGCAGAGGUGACUCCGGGAGAGCCGGCGGGGCUGGGCAGCCGGGCCCGACCGCAGGCCACAGACCGGAAGGCUGAAGACGGAAGCCGCCGAGGAGAGCAGGAAAAUAGAAGCACCCUGGGAACCUGUUCCCCCAAUUCCCGGGGGCGAAACAGCAGCCAGGCUUGAGAGAGAAGCGAACUUCCCCAUCUCAUUUCGGGCUUGUUUCCCGCGGCCGUCACCCACCCGCGAGCGACUGCAGGUGGCGCACAGAUGGCAGGGAGUGAGACGAAGCGCACAGCGAGAGCCAAGGCAGCCCGAGCUGGGGAGGAGCAGGGCACCCGGGGGUGACGGGGUGCAGUCACGGAGUCAGUUCCCCGCCGCCCUCAGAAAGCAGUUACGCUGCGUUUCUGUGCGCUAAUUCCUCGCUCUUAGCAAAGCUCUGAUUACUUUUUAUUUGUUUGUUUGUUUGUUUGUUUGUUUAUUUGUAUUGUGGGUGUGGGUGUGUGAGACGGGGGAUGAAGGCCAGGGCCUUCAUACUGACCAACAUCCCCCAUUCUUUUUUUAUUUUUUAUUUUAAG
rnacentral:lncRNA from 1 species